GGACUACAAGGGUAUCUAAUCCUGUUCGCUCCCCACGCUUUCGCUCCUCAGCGUCAGUAUCGGCCCAGAGACCCGCCUUCGCCACCGGUGUUCCUCCUGAUAUCUGCGCAUUUCACCGCUACACCAGGAAUUCCAGUCUCCCCUACCGAACUCUAGCUUGCCCGUAUCGACUGCAGUCCCGCGGUUAAGCCGCGGGUUUUCACAGUCGACGCGACAAGCCGCCUACGAGCUCUUUACGCCCAAUAAAUCCGGACAACGCUCGCGCCCUACGUCUUACCGCGGCUGCUGGCAC
rnacentral:rRNA from 1 species